GGUUGCGAUCAUACCAGCUCUAAUGCACCGGAUCCCAUCAGAACUCCGCAGUUAAGCGUGCUUGGGCGAGAGUAGUACUAGGAUGGGUGACCCCCUGGGAAGUCCUCGUGUUGCAACCCC
rnacentral:rRNA from 1 species